UACGUAGGGUGCGAGCGUUACUCGGAUUUACUGGGCGUAAAGCGUGCGCAGGCGGCCCGUUAAGACAGGUGUGAAAUCCCUGGGCUCAACCUAGGAAUUGCGCUUGUGACUGGCGGGCUCGAGUACGGUAGAGGGGGGUGGAAUUCCUGGUGUAGCAGUGAAAUGCGUAGAGAUCAGGAGGAACACCGAUGGCGAAGGCAGCCCCCUGGGCCUGUACUGACGCUCAUGCACGAAAGCGUGGGGAGCAAACAGG
rnacentral:rRNA from 1 species